rnacentral:lncRNA from 1 species
UCCUUCUCUUAUCACCUUGUGCUUGUUUUGGGGCCCAGUGUUGAUAUAUGGUGCAUAUAAGAGGAGUGAGAUAGCAGAAAGACAGGGAAAACCUAACUUACAGGCAUUGUCAGAGGGGAAUCCACCGUGACACUCAAACUUCUGACAGAGCUUAUCUUUAAAGAAAUUGGAAGCAUUAAGUCAGGGGCUGGAAGGAUGGAUCAGCACUGGUAAAAUAAGCAAGAAGAGCAGUCCAAUAUGCACGCAGGGCAUUGGAGAGAUGGAAGAUCUAACAGAAGCAGGAGACACUAAGAAAAGUGAUGCAGAAGAGGAUUAACUGCGUUGAUGCAUCUGCCUCCUACGCCAGGACAGAGAGGACAGAAUGGUUUAAGACACUACCAGGCUGGAGAUUGCAAUACACUGUGAAGAAUCACACACACGCUCCCAUUCCAUUUCAGAGUAACAGCAGGUAGACCAUGAGCAAGGGUAAGUCAUAACCCAGGUGACUUUGCAGUGAAUUGGAUUAGAAACUUUUUUUGUGAAGGAGGAGGUAACUUCAUUUUGAGUGGCUAAAGAGCACAGACAGGGUCAUUUCUUACACCUCUGCAGCUAUUCCUGAAAUGACUCUGUUAUCACACCCCACAACAUACCCUACUCAUACCAGACAGCAAAGCAACUGCAAAUUACACAAGGGCUUCACCACUGGCUGCCUCAUGCUUCCCAUGUGACUUGAUAUUGCUGUGAACUUGCUUUCACUGUCCACCAUGUGCCAUUGUCCUUGCACUGCCUUGGGGCUUCCACUCUCAGAAGAGAAUUUAAAAGAAUUAAAAAUGAUUAAUUAAAAGAUUUAAAAAUGAACAUAACUAUCAACAGAUCCUUAGAAAUACUGAAAGGUAUUUGUCAUAUUUAACAUGUUAAAUGUAUAUUGUCACGCUAUUUAGAGUGCUCAAAUAUAAAUAUUUUAUUUUUAAAACCUGGUGGAAUAACA